GUCCCAAAAGCUUCAUAAUUCAGUGAUGGCUUUUGUAGCCUGAACUGUUGGUAGCUUUUUGGAACAGCAAAUACCAUGCUCCACUGUGGACUACACAGUUGUAGUUCAUAACUACUGAUGUGGUUGACAAA
ensembl:snoRNA